rnacentral:rRNA from 1 species
AUUGAACGCUGGCGGCAUGCUUUACACAUGCAAGUCGAACGGUAACAGGCCUUCGGGUGCUGACGAGUGGCGAACGGGUGAGUAAUGCAUCGGAACGUGCCCAGAGGUGGGGGAUAACGCAGCGAAAGCUGUGCUAAUACCGCAUGUGAUCUGAGGAUGAAAGCGGGGGACCAAGCAGCAAUGUUUGGCCUCGCGCCUCUGGAGCGGCCGAUGUCAGAUUAGGUAGUUGGUGGGGUAAAGGCCUACCAAGCCGACGAUCUGUAGCUGGUCUGAGAGGACGACCAGCCACACUGGGACUGAGACACGGCCCAGACUCCUACGGGAGGCAGCAGUGGGGAAUUUUGGACAAUGGACGCAAGCCUGAUCCAGCAAUGCCGCGUGCGGGAAGAAGGCCUUCGGGUUGUAAACCGCUUUUGUACGGAACGAAAAGGCUCUGGCUAAUACCUGGGGCUGAUGACGGUACCGUAAGAAUAAGCACCGGCUAACUACGUG